ACCUGCAGCACUCUUCACCAUCACAAUUUUACUUUAAUUUUCACCAAUCUAACUCGGACGUGCUUAAAAGCUAGUCCCACAUGAACCAGUGUGCGUUGUUCAUGAUGCGCAGUAACAAGGUCAGGAGAGGAAGGUGAGGAGUUGCCCGUGACCGGUGUGAGGAUCAACCCACAAUGGCUGCCCUGAUGCGGCAGGGGGUCCACUGGUCCACAAGACUGGUCCACGUCGUACAGAAGACCGGUUCAUGUGGUACAGAAGACUGGUCCACGUGGUACAGAAUGCGUGUCGUCAGGGCGUCCUCUACCAUAAGGUCAAGGUGAUCCUCGACGCACAGGCUACGGGAAGGUGUGUGUGGUGACGGCUUCCUCGCCCCACAGUAAAAGGUGA